GAUUAACGUCAGUUUUAUUAUGGGGAGAGAUACCGUAAAAGGUGGUGUGUCUUGCAGCCCAAUCAUAUAUUCCAACUAGCAUCCAACGGCCGCUUACUAGGCAUGAAUCGAUCACUGAUCGCUACAUAUAAUACCCGAAAUCUGACACAGUGUGAAAAUGCGAAGAAGUUUUUUAUAUUUGUCUGCAUCGCUACAGUUGGUCUGAUACUGAC